rnacentral:rRNA from 1 species
UUAGGAAUCUUCCACAAUGGGCGAAAGCCUGAUGGAGCGACGCCGCGUGAGGGAUGAAGGCCUUAGGGUUGUAAACCUCUAAAAGAGGGACGAUAAUGACGGUACCUCUUGAAUAGCACCGGCUAACUCCGUGCCAGCAGCCGCGGUAAUACGGAGGGUGCAAGCGUUAUCCGGAAUCACUGGGCGUAAAGGGCGCGUAGGCGGUCUGUUAAGUCCGAUGUUAAAUCCCGGGGCUCAACCCCGGAUAAGCGUUGGAUACUGGCAGGCUAGACGGUUGGAGAGGCGAGUGGAAUUACCAGGGGAGCGGUGGAAUGCGUAAAUACUGGUAGGAACACCCAUUGCGAAGGCAGCUCGCUGGACAACACGUGACGCUGAGGCGCGAAAGUGUGGGG